rnacentral:rRNA from 1 species
UACGUAGGUGGCUAGCGUUGUCCGGAAUCACUGGGCGUAAAGAGCGCGUAGGCGGCUUGCCAGGUCCGAUGUGAAAACCCGGGGCUUAACUCCGGGCCUGCAUCUUAAACCGGCUUGCUAGAGUCUGGGAGAGGAGAGUGGAAUUCCUGGUGUAGCGGUGAAAUGCGUAGAUAUCAGGAGGAACACCGGUAGCGAAUGCGGCUCUCUGGAACAGUACUGACGCUGAGGCGCGAAAGCUAGGGGAGCGAGCAGG